rnacentral:rRNA from 2 species
AGAAUUUGAUCCUGGUUCAGGAUGAACGCUGGCGGUGUGCCUUAAGCAUGCAAGUCGAACGGUAUAUUGUUGGACUUUGGAUGACUCAACGGCACGAUCGCUCUUUUAUAGAGUAAUUUGUGUUGUUGAUUCCAAAGUCCAAUGAUGUGCAGUGGCAGACGGGUGAGUAAUACGUAGGAACCUACCUCUUUGUGGGGGACAGCUCGCCGAAAGGCGGGGUAAUACCGCAUGUGAUCGCAAGAUCAAAGCCGUAAGGCGCGAAGAGAGGGGCCUGCGUCCCAUCAGCUAGUUGGCGGGGUAAACGCCCACCAAGGCAACGACGGGUAGCCGGUGUGAGAGCAUGGCCGGCCACAAGGUCACUGAGACACGGGACCUACACCUACGGGUGGCAGCAACUGGGAAUCUUGCGCAAUGGACGAAAGUCUGACGCAGCGACACCGCGUGUGGGAAGAAGGCCUUCGGGUUGUAAACCACUGUGGCGAGGGAACAAAAAAAUGAGGGUACCUCGCUAGAAAGCACCUGCUAACUACGUGCCAGAAGCCUCGGUAAUACGUAGGGUGCAAGCGUUAUCCGGAUUUACUGGGCGUAAAGCGUCUCGAAGGUGGACGCGCGCGUGGCGGGUUUAAGCCCGGAGCUCAACUCCGGACCAGCUCGUCAUACGGCGUGUCUCGAGUCUGUUAGGGGGAAUCAGAAUUCUCGGUGUAGGGGUGAAAUCCGUAGAUAUCGAGAGGAAUGCCAAAAGCGAAGGCAGGUUCCUGGGACAGUACUGACACUCUAGGACGAAAGCCAGGGUAGCAAAAGGGAUUAGAGACCCCUGUAGUCCUGGCCCUAAACGAUGCUCGCUAGAUGGUUCACUUCGGUGGGCUGUCGUAAGCUAACGCGUUAAGCGAGCCGCCUGGGGAGUACGGCCGCAAGGCUAAAACUCAAAGGAAUUGGCGGGGGAGCGCACAACCAGUGGAGCAUGUGGUUUAAUUCGAGACGAAGCGAAGACCUUACCUAGACUUGACAUGUACCUGCAAGCUGUGGAAACACAGUCGCCUUUGAGGGUGGUACACAGGUGAUGCAUGGUUAUGCAUUUGUGCGAAAGCACAGACGAUGACCCCUUACACAGUAAUGUGUAA